UGUGGAAUAUAUGAAAGCUUCUUUUUUUUUGUCCAACCAAGAUGAUAAACAUAAAAUUAAAAAGCAUAAAGAGAAAUAUUACAACUUAUUUCUCAAGUGAUAUUCAUGUUCAUGCACAAUAUUAUACUAAAUGCACAAAGCAAAAUAUGAAUUAUGAAAAUAGAAAAUGCAUACAUAAAAGUUAACACCAGACUCCAGACCAGAGUCUGGAUAUUUAUGGGUUAUUCCCUAAUUUCCCAUUAUAUUACCCCAGAAAUACAUAUCAAUAACAUUUGGAAAUAAAUAAAUAGAUUAACAACGAUUCGUCGCAAAGCAAGAACCCCAAAUCCACAAAACCUUCCAAAACCCACAAAUAGCAAUUACCAAAAACGUGCUCAUAAAAUCCUAACAAAUAGCUCAAAAGAGAGGAGCAAAUGCAAGGGCGAUUAAGGAAGCGCAGAAAGUGGGGACGAAAAUGGCUGCGUCGGAAGCUGGAGCAGGUGCCGGAGCAUCAGCGGCGGCGACGCCCUUCACGGCGGAGAUAGCCACCAUCAUCAUCAUGACUGCAACAACGAACAUCUUCAUUGCCUCCAUGUUUGUAAAAGGAUAUGAAGAUAGUAUCGGAAAUUGAAAGGAAAAUGGUGAAAUGCUUAAACAAAGGAAUUACUCGAGAAAUUGUAGAGACAGUGUAGGAAGUUAUGAGACUCGGAGAUUAGUGUGGUUUAUAUAUAGGUGUAGAGGGUAGCUUGGGGGAAGUGAAGAUUAACUUAAUUCGGGCAGGUUAGCUGCCCGAGAUGAUUAAUUAUUUAAUUUUCUUAUCAUUACCUUUUUUUCCCCUCUCUUUCUCAUUCCUCCCCGUGAAAAUAGAUUUUAAAAAA
rnacentral:lncRNA from 1 species